rnacentral:misc_RNA from 1 species
UUAGACUACAGAUGUUAGC